AGUUACAGCCAUACUACCCUGAAUGCGCUCAAUUUCGUUUGGUCUUGGAAGCUAAGCAGGGUCUGAUCUGGUUAGUACUUGGAUGGGAGACAGAUCUUCAGAAGAAAUUGCUC
rnacentral:rRNA from 1 species